rnacentral:sRNA from 1 species
ACAAGGGUAAGGGAGGAUUUCUCCCCCCUCUGAUGAGUUGUUAGUAAGUCGGGAAACUUAACAGUAACAACACAACCAGUAUGAUGACGAACUUCAUCAUAACCCUUUCCUUCUAUAAGGCCCCUUCCUCGGGAGGGGCUUU